AGAACGAACGCUGGCGGCAUGCCUAACACAUGCAAGUCGAACGCCUGUAGCAAUACAGGAGUGGCGCACGGGUGAGUAACGCGUGGGAACCUACCCUGGAGUGGGGGAUAACCGAGGGAAACUUCGGCUAAUACCUCAUACGACCUGAGGGUGAAAGAUUUAUCGCUCUAGGAGGGGCCCGCGUCGGAUUAGCUAGUUGGUGAGGUAACGGCCCACCAAGGCAACGAUGGGUAGCUGGUCUGAGAGGACGAUCAGCCACACUGGGACUGAGACACGGCCCAGACUCCUACGGGAGGCAGCAGUGGGGAAUCUUGCGCAAUGCGCGAAAGCGUGACGCAGCAACGCCGCGUGGAGGACGAAGGCUUUCUGAGUUGUAAACUCCUUUCAGCAGGGACGAUUGUGACGGUACCUGCAGAAGAAGCACCGGCCAACUACGUGCCAGCAGCCGC
rnacentral:rRNA from 1 species